rnacentral:rRNA from 1 species
GACGAACGCUGGCGGCGUGCUUAACACAUGCAAGUCGAACGGCAAGGCCCUGCUUUUGUGGUGUUCUCGAGUGCCGAACGCGUGAGUAACACGUGAGUAACCUGCCCUUGUCUUUGGGAUAACUUCAGGAAACUGGGGCUAAUACCGUAUCGGAGCUCCUGCUGCAUGGUGGGGGUUGGAUAGUUUCGGCGGGUGGGGAUGGAUGCGCGGCUUAUCAGCUUGUUGGUUGGGUAGUUGCUUACCAAGGCUUUGACGGGUAGCCGGCCUGGGAGGGGGACCGGCGACAUGGGGACUGAGAGACGGAGCAGACGGCUACGGGAGGCAGUAGGGGGGAGUAUGACACAAUGGGAGCAAGUGUGAUGCAGAGGCGUCGGGGGCGGGAAGACGGCCUGCGGGGUAUAAACAGCUGUCGCCUGUGACGAAGCGGGAGUGACGGUAAUGGAUAAAGAAGCACCGGCUAACUACGUG